rnacentral:rRNA from 1 species
UGCGUAGGCGGCCCGGGAAGUUGGGUGUGAAAUCCCUCAGCUUAACUGAGGAAUUGCAUUCAAAACUGCCGGGCUUGAGGGAGACAGAGGUGAGCGGAACUUAGGGUGGAGCGGUGAAAUGCGUUGAUAUCCUAAGGAACACCGGGGGCGAAAGCGGCUCACUGGGUCUUUUCUGACGCUGAGGCACGAAAGCUAGGGGAGCGAACGGGAUUAGAUACCCCGGUAGUCCUAGCCCUAAACGAUGAGCACUGGAUCGGAGAACAUCCCAUAGUUUUCUGGUCGUAGCAAAAGCGUUAAGUGCUCCGCCUGGGGAGUAUGGUCGCAAGGCUGAA